ensembl:lncRNA
ACUUCUUCCCAAAUGGAAGCUAAAAAUGAUGAUCUCCAGUUGGUAAGUAACGCUAAGAAACAGCAGAAGAAGAGAUUCUUCUGCUGUUUCAAGAGUGAGAGAGGAGGAGAAAAUGGUAAAAAAAAAAAGUAAAGAAAGAGAAGAGGAAGAAGGUGGGUUGCUGGAGCUGGAUGUUCUAAACUUCCUUUCUCCAACUUCUUACCAAAAAAUGAAAAAAAAAAUGAAACUCUUCAGAAAGAAAAACUGGAUCUGGAG